UACGAAGGGGGCUAGCGUUGUUCGGAUUUACUGGGCGUAAAGCGCACGUAGGCGGAUAUUUAAGUCAGGGGUGAAAUCCCGGGGCUCAACCCCGGAACUGCCUCUGAUACUGGAUAUCUCGAGUCCGGAAGAGGUGAGUGGAAUUCCGAGUGUAGAGGUGAAAUGCGUAGAUAUCGGGAGGAACACCAGUGGCGAAGGCGGCUUCCUGGCCUGUUCUUGACGCUGAGGCGCGAAAGCUAGGGGAGCAAACGGG
rnacentral:rRNA from 1 species